ACACCUGCUUUUCUGGAAAACCUGGAAGCCAUUGGCAGGGCUGUCUGGACCCCUCCUCCAGUCCUCCCAAGGCCUUGCCUGGACACAACUGACAUCUACAUAGACAGCCACACUCGUGGAACACAAGGGGGAGGGGUGGGGAUUCGGUGUGGCCUCAGUUGUUCUCAAAUUACAUGAUAAAGUAGAUGUAGUGGAUCCUUUACACCAAAAGGCGUUGUGGAGUCCAGUUAUAGGAAUGCAUAACAUGUUAGCAGGACUCAUUGUAGCCUCCUCCUCAGAAGAGCCAAGGAACUCAGCCACACCCUUAAAGGCAAGGUGAUUGCACUACAAUUAGUUGACCUAUCUGGAAAAUUAAAGCUUCCCUGUGGUUUGAGGUUCUGCUCCUUUCUUUUUCUUUUUCUUUUUUUGUUUUUGUUUUUUUUUUUUUUUGAAUUCUUACAAGCUUCUGUUUUUGUUUUGUUUUUACCACCCUUGAGAUCCAGGUGAGGCUUUUGCUUGGAGUAGUUCGUGCAUCCUAUGGAGACAGGUCAUCAGCGUUGUGCUAGCAUUGUGCACUUCGGUCUGGGGUGGGGGGUUAGGUAGGUGUUGGGGUGCGGUGGGGGGGAAUUCUGCUUGAAGUCUGCGUGGGCCAAUGCCGAAUUCAGACUUGGCUGCCAGACCCACCACGAGUCCGUGCUGUCCAAAGGGAGCAGACCGGAGGCAAGGAAUCCUAGCGCUCAGAUGUGUUCUCACUCACUCCUCCCUUGCAAAGAUGCUAACAAGGAGAAGGAAGAAAAAGAAGAGGAGGAGGAGGAGGAUGAAAGAUUGGGUCCUAAGUGUUAUUCAAUGGCAUGACAUGGUUUUCCCUGGAAGGCAGCCAGAACUGAUGCUUAUGAGGUGUUUGUCUGAUGAACUGUACCCCUGUGACACUAAGCAGAGCCAGGAGGAGGUGGCAGUCCAUCUUUCUAACUCAGGUUUGAUUUACAAAUCAGAAGAAUGUGCAAAGCCCAUGGAAGCCAGACCCACCCUUAACAUAGUCUAACAAGGAAAUAAUGACCUCUGCUUGUGAAUAACCAUUUGGACAGUGGAAUGAUUUGGAUUAUUGUUGAAGUGUAAUAUAGUAUUUACAUGAGAGCAAAAUAGACCCUAGGCAACUGCUGACUGUGAUGUUUGUUUUAGUAACUGGAAGUGUGGAAAAUGAUUAUUAGCCAGUAUCUAUGAGUUACAGAGAACCUUUCUAAUUAAAGGAAGCCGUGUAUUGAAUGUAUGGAAACUUCUAACAUAGCUCACAUGAACAGAAAAAAUAACAAAAAGUUGGGAGGUAGGAGGAAGGAAACACUGUGUCACAAUGCCUCCAGAAUUAAAUUCCACAGCCAGGAAAAUAAGAUGUACUCAAGUACUUGACAAUGAAAUUCUUUUAUAACAGGAUUUCAUUAUUUGAGAAAUGUAGAUGUGCCACGAGCUACACUGCCCUCAACUUCAAUCUUGUAGUGAUUGGACUUGUACAUGCUCUGUACAAUUUCUUGAGGCUCUAAGAACUCAUAUUAGUUCUAGCCAUGAAACAAAUUCUAUAAGAGUGCUUGACAGUGUUUACAAAAAGUAAAAUUCUGGUUAUCUGAGGUCAGUAUGGAACAUAACGGCUUUGCAAAGACAUGAUUGCCUUGUUUGUGUUACUGUAUUAAGUGUAAGUAAUGCUUUACUUUAUCCGAUUAAAAUAGUAUUGUGUUUAUGAUACAAAAUUUUGAAAAUAUCGAAAUUUCAAGUUAAAUAAAAAUGACCUCCACCCAAAAGCA
rnacentral:lncRNA from 12 species